AAAAUCAUACUUUAAGCUGUCCUUUUUAAUAGCCUCUGUCCUUUUUUUCUUUAGUCAUAAUGAUGGGACAUUCAUAUUUAAUCAGGGAUGUUUUGUGUUUAUGCCGCAGCAGGAACGUCUGCUGGUUGUUCACUAAUCACAUAUAAAGGCAGUAAUUUUGAUUGCUGAGGAAGGAUGACCUUCAGGAAGUUAUUUCUGAUGCCGGUGAUGUCGAUUAGGGCCAGAUUUAAUAAGCUCAUGUCAGGUCAGAGCGCAGGGUCAUGAGCAGCACCCCUGGAGCAGAGAGGACUUGUUGGGCUUUGCUCAAAGGCCCAACAGUGGCAGCUUGGCUGUGCUGGGGCUUGAACCCCUGACCUUCCGAAUUAUUAACCCAGAGCCUUAACCGCCAAGCCACCACUGCCCUGGUUACACAACCAUAUAUAACCGUUAGGAAGAGCUCUUCACUGUGGCAAGCCUGCUACAGUACCCAAGGAAGUGGCUAUGGAAGGCGGGCGUUUUAGUCGACUUUGGAGUUCUGUUUGCAAAAUCGGUAUAAAUGUCACCGCAGGUGCUGCUGCGAAGCUCAUUAGAUUUCAGUAAAUCGUUUUCCCCAGGUCAGAGACUUUUUGUUUGUUUGUUUGUUUAUUUAUUUAUUUAUGUAUGUAUAUAUUAUCAGGAUAUGGUGAACCUGCUGUACAUUUUGUUUAUAAUAUUAAACAAAAAUAUUUGUAUCAA